CGGGCCGCCGGGCGGCGGGCCGUAAGCGCCGCUCGGGUCGGCGUAGCCGGUGGGCGGCGGGCCGUAAGCGGCGUUCGGGUCGGCGUAGCCGGU
rnacentral:tRNA from 1 species